rnacentral:rRNA from 1 species
GUGGGGAAUAUUGGGCAAUGGGCGAAAGCCUGACCCAGCAACGCCGCGUGAAGGAAGAAGGCUUUCGGGUUGUAAACUUCUUUUGUCAGGGACGAAAAAAAUGACGGUACCUGACGAAUAAGCCACGGCUAACUACGUGCCAGCAGCCGCGGUAAUACGUAGGUGGCAAGCGUUAUCCGGAUUUACUGGGUGUAAAGGGCGUGUAGGCGGGAAAGCAAGUCAGAUGUGAAAACUAUGGGCUCAACCCAUAGCCUGCAUUUGAAACUGUUUUUCUUGAGUACUGGAGAGGCAGAUGGAAUUCCUAGUGUAGCGGUGAAAUGCGUAGAUAUUAGGAGGAACACCAGUGGCGAAGGCGAUCUGCUGGACAGCAACUGACGCUGAGGCGCGAAAGCGUGGGGAGCAAACAGGAUUAGAUACCCGAGUAGCC